AAUAUACGAUAUUUGAUUUUCUCUUUCUGACUUACUUCACCGUGGUUCUGAUUUAAUUGGUCAGUUUUUUAAAAGCUCCCCAGGUGAUUCAGUGGGCAGCAACCUUUGAGAACCGCUGGCAGGAGAAAGGGGAAAGCUGACGGCUGUGGAGGGUCGGUGCCACUAGCGACUUGCCAUGCUUUUCCAGGCAUGGCAAGGGGGGUGGGAACAGCAACAGGGAGGCCGCGGAAGACCCAGUGACAGGACAGUGACCGUCGGGGUUUCCUGCCCGCUGGUGCGCGCGGUUGGACAGACAACGGCUGCGGAGGGACGCGGGGUAGCAGGCUUGUUCUCAGGAAGGAACCCCGUUGGUCCGGGUGCCGAGAGGGAAGCGCGGGUGAGUCUUCGGUUCCCGCGGCGCCAGGAGCCCCGCCCGGCGAACUAGCGCAGCGCGCAGGCGCAGAGGGAGGGGGCGGGGAGGCGCCGGGCUCGGCUCGGGCGGGGAGGGGUGACUCAGAGGGCGGGGGCGGCCCUAGAGCCGCACCUCCGCCCCGGGCCCCGUCUGCCCCGCAUCAACCAUCCCCAGGGCCGCCUCCGGGAGGGGCGGGGCCGGCCGGCUGGGCAGGUGAGGGCGGCCCCGGGAGGGUGCGUUGGGACGCUUCUUUGUUGAUCGUCCGGCCCCGCCCCAGGCCUGGGCGCGAGCUGCAGGAGCUGAGUCACGGCCGACUGCUGGGUGCGUGGCCACAUGGCCCCAGGCGGAAGAGUGCGUCCCUUUCCUGAACCUGGCGUGUCUCUUGAGGAAGCCAAAGUGACAAAAGCCAGGGAGCGGUGGCUUCUGUUCUACAAAGCUCACUACUCGUAACCCAUAACUGAGGUCACCCCAGCACUCGCACAGCCCUGAGCAGGAACCACCGUCCGUCCGCCACCCUCACGCCACCUCCAAAGGGAUCAUGAUUUUGAGGCUUGAGGCAAAGCUCCGCGACGGACUUGCAGUGACAUGGUCCAGGAAGGUUCCUCUAGAGCUGCCCCAUGUCCCCACACCUGCCUGAGAUGCUUGGCAGACCUCCCUUUGGGUGUCACUGAUUUUGAGGACGUUCCCCUGAACAUAGAUGUAUUAACCACAAAUGAGCGCUGCUGAAUGAUCGACACAGUGAGAAAGCACCCUCUGCAAGCCAGGAAAGACUCUCAACAGACACCAGCCCUGCUGGCACCUUGGUCUUGAGCUUCAAGCCUGCAGAACUGCAAGAAAAUAGAUUCCUGUUGUUUAAGCUGCACGGUGGUCUGUGGUAGCUUGUUACGGCAGCCCAAGCUCACUAAGAUGCUUCGCAAAUAAAAACCCUGAACUUCCUGAGGCAGCAAGGAUGCCUCUAACAGACAUGGGGAGAAGUCUUGCACAAAGAGCUGGCGCACGAGGUGCAGUGAAAAGGGGAGAAACGCACCAAGGAUACCAUUUCAAGGCAGGGACUGACUGAGUGCCUACCAUGCUCCGGGCACCGAGCCAACCUCCAUCCCAGAGGAACACUGCUCCUGGCCCCUGGAUACCCAAGGAAGCUGUUGCUCUGGCCGCCUCCUGGCAGCCUUGCUUCUCAAACCUCCCUCCAAGGACAGAGGGUGACAACUGCCCCCAGCCUAUGAAGGAAGCAGCUGCACCCAGCAAGCUGGGAGGCCGCAUGUGCCCAGAGCAGACUGUUGCCCUUCGUUUAAUUCUCCAGGCCCGGACUUAGGCCAAGCAUGGAGAUGCACCUGCCAGUCUCCAACUCCCGUCGCCUCUCCAAGCCUUUCCCUGCCCAUUUCCAAGGUCCCUCCGGCCUCCGGGGCAGUGCUGCCAUUAAGAGGGAGAACUGACCUGGGUUUCACUUCCUCUGGAGGAGAUGUAAAUAAACAGAAACUAAUCAGCUCCCGGUCCAUCAGCACCCACUGCAGGCACCCAGCCACCAAGACCAUCGGUCUCUUCCUCGCUGCACUUGGAAUGGCUCCACAGCUUUGGAAAAAACACUGACUCCCGGGCCCCAGCCCUGAGUUCCUCAUUUCAUUGCCUGGGAUUCGGCCCGGGCAUUGGCUUCUGUAGAUCCCACAUGCAGCCAGGCCUGAGCUCCACCACCCCUGGGAUCCACAUUGCCUGCAUCUGUGAAGUGGGGCUCGUGGGACCUCCCAAACAGGGUGUUGUGAGGCUGAGGUGCGAGACAGCCUGGGCUGGAGAGGGAAGGGAAUUGUUCGUCAAGGGCUAAGGGGAGCCCUGUGCCAGGCGCCACGCUAGGGGUGGGCUCCUCUGCGAGACCGCUCGGCAGGCUCCCCUGGGGGGUGGCGCCCCAUCCUCGCUGGCAUCUGCCCAGCUCCUUACCGCUUAUGGAGCCCUUCACUCCAUGAGACCAAGGCUGGCACGCCAUGGCACCCAGCCAAUGUCUAUUAGAUGAACGAAUGGACGGUGUCCUUUGACUUCCGUGACAACUUUGAGAAGUAAACCAGAAAGAGAUCCUUAUCUUCUCCGAUCCCAUAGAAAGAAUGGGAAGUUCAGAGUCAAGGUUCUGUCACUAGCUUUGUGUCCCAGAGACACAGUUAAGGGAACUUAACUUCUCAAAGCCUUUGUUUCUUCAUUUGUCAAGUAGGACUUUCUUAUAAUUCCUUUGUUAUGAGGCUAUUCUGAAGAGCUGAUGAGACAAUAUGUGAGGGAAACACUUGUAGAAACUAUUAUUUGAUGAGGGAAUUGAGGUUCAGAUAGGUUAAGUGACUUGCCUACAGUCACACAGCUAGUAAAUAGUGAAGCCAGGAGCGAAGAACUUCUGGACUUUUCCGGCUCCCCACAUAGAAACGCAGGCCCACAUAUACUUAAAAAAAACAAACACCAAAAUAAGUACCUGGUUAAAGAGAGAAAGAUUCAGAUAUUUAGAGAAGAGAUCCUGGGCCUUGUUUGGCUUCCAGGGCUCACCCAAAGGGGAAGUGUUGCAGUGAAUUUUGCAGAAAGGACGAAUGAGGCUUUGGGUAAAGAUUCUUUUUUAAAGAAGGACUAGCCUGGGAGAAAACUCAGAGAAAGGAAUAAACAAAGAGUUUUGUUUGUUCACGAUGGAGAAGCUGAGAGGGGACCAAGGUGAAGAGGAGGCAGUUGUGUGGGAGAAGCCUUUGCCAUCUCUGGAGGGCCUGGCAGCCUGCAAACGGGGCCCUGUGUGGCUCAGAGCACAGCGCCUCAGCUCCCACCCAGGGACAGCUGCAGGGGUGCCCUAGAGCGUCCUUACAACCAAGCUCCGUGCCCAGGGACUGCUCGCCCAGCUCUGGUUCCUCUGCGUGAAGCUCUGUCCUGAAGUCCCACUAGAGAAGGAAGGAACCUGUAGUUACAGACCACCUGUCCCGGCACCUGUGAUCACAGGAGGAUUAGGUUAGGGCCCUGCCUCCCAGUGAGAGAAGCAUUCUCCACCCCAUUACACAGGUGGGGCUCAGAGAUGCUAGGCCACUGGCCACUUCCCAGGGCCCCUCCGGCCUUCACACGUCCUGGCCAUUCUUCUAAUGCAUGGCUGUAUGCCUCCAGCCCCGGAAUCCACGUGUCCGCUCUUGCCUGGGCUCCCGGUGGACUCUGGGGGCAGGCUCCGUGCGGGGCUGCCCGGCAGGCAGACUGGCAUUACCUAAUUGCUGGCCGGCUUCUUUUUUGUCACCUCAUUUCUCCAAGCUGCCUGGCUCUGAAAGCCUCCAUCUCAGACAGACAAAUGAGACUCCAGCCUUGUUCUGCCUGAGCUCCAGCAAAAGCAAGAGAUCAGAGGCUGCCGUCUUGUUGGAGAAGCCGCCAGGAUCCGGAUCACAAAGCACUGGGGGCAGUGGAUGUCUUUAGCAGUUUCAGGGCCUGUGAACCUGCUCUUGAAAUGCGUCCCUUUGAGCUCGAGUCCGCGAAGCCCCUCAGGAAUUGGAGUGAUGGCAGUGACUGGCCGUGUGCCGUGGCCGCGGGGAUGGCUAGAAAGAGAUCUGGAAUGGGCCAGGGACAAAAAGGGCCCUGGCAUCCUCUGGACAUGGGGUGGGACCCCAUAGAGGAGGCAGCUGACUCAGGUAGAGUACUCAGCACAUGGCCUGCCACAGGGUAAGUAGUGCUGGCCUACGUUGCUUGCUGUGUUUGGUGGAGCUUUUCUUGGAAAGAAUAAAGGGGUUAUGAGUAGAACUGAAGCCAGCACACAAUAUAACUCUGGUCAUGGUACCCCACUGCCAGCGCCCUCAGUGGCCUCCCAUUGUCUGAGGGUAGAGACAGUCCUUGAGCCCAGCCUGAAAGCUCCCACGGGCACCCCACUCAGCUCCCUGGCCCCUUCAGCUCACUCAUGCCGGCCACAUGGCCUCGUUUCAGUUCUUCGAGGGACCCCUUCCUUCCUCCGGAAGUGACCUCUGACCUUGCCUGGAGCAGUCCCAGCAGGGAGCCGCAGGGUCUGCUCACCUGGUAGAGACUUCACGGGACACGGCCCCUGGGAAGAGGAGAAGCAGUAAGAGGGAGAUGAAGAAACCGAAGUUCAGGACUGCUGGCUGACCUGCCCAAGGUCGCACGCAGCCAGCAGUGGCAAAGCCAGGAUGCAAACCGAGGCGACCUGACUCCUGAGCACGAGCUCCAAGGAUGACUUUACAAGAAAGGGUUAACGGGCUUCCCUGGUGGCGUGGUAGUUGAGAGUCCGUCUGCCGAUGCAGGGGACGCGGGUUCGUGCCCCGGUCUGGGAAGAUCCCACAAGCCGCGGAG